UCUUCCGCAAUGGACGAAAGUCUGACGGAGCAACGCCGCGUGAGUGAUGAAGGUUUUCGGAUCGUAAAACUCUGUUGUUAGGGAAGAANAAGUACCGUUCGAAUAGGGUGGCACCUUGACGGUACCUAACCAGAAAGCCACGGCUAACUACGUGCCAGCAGCCGCGGUAAUACGUAGGUGGCAAGGUUUUGCCGGAAUUAUUGGGCGUAAAGCGCGCGCAGGCGGUUUUUUAAGUCUGAUGUGAAAGCCCCCGGCUCCACCGGGGAGGGUCAUUGGAAACUGGGGAACUUGAGUGCAGAAGAGGAGAGUGGAAUUCCACGUGUAGCGGUGAAAUGCGUAGAGAUGUGGAGGAACACCAGUGGCGAAGGCGACUCUCUGGUCUGUAACUGACGCUGAGGCGCGAAAGCGUGGGGAGCGAACAG
rnacentral:rRNA from 1 species